rnacentral:rRNA from 1 species
GUAGGUGGCAAGCGUUGUCCGGAAUUAUUGGGCGUAAAGCGCGCGCAGGCGGUUCUUCAAGUCUGAUGUGAAAGCCCACGGCUCAACCGUGGAGGGUCAUUGGAAACUGGAGAACUUGAGUACAGAAGAGGAAAGCGGAAUUCCACGUGUAGCGGUGAAAUGCGUAGAGAUGUGGAGGAACACCAGUGGCGAAGGCGGCUUUCUGGUCUGUAACUGACGCUGAGGCGCGAAAGCGUGGGGGAGCAAACAGGAUUAGAUACCCUGGUAGUCCACGCCGUAAACGAUGAGUGCUAAGUGUUAGGGGGUUUUCCGCCCCGUUAGUGCUGCAGCUAACGCAUUAAGCACUCCGCCUGGGAGUACGGCCGCAAGGCUG